AUUUAACUGACGAAUUCCAAUUAGGACGAAACGCGCGUUCUGAAU
rnacentral:hammerhead_ribozyme from 1 species